GACGAACGCUGGCGGCGUGCUUAACACAUGCAAGUCGAACGGCGAAGCGCCUACCUUUUUGGUGGGUGUGGAUGAGUGGCGAACGGGUGAGUAACACGUGAGUAACCUGCCCUCUUCUUCUGGAUAACCUCAUGAAAGUGGGGCUAAUACGGGGUAUUCCGGGUCUGUCGCAUGGCGGGUUUGGGAAAGAUUGCGCCUUUGGGUGUUUUCGGUGGGGGAUGGGCUCGCGGCCUAUCAGCUUGUUGGUGGGGUGAUGGCCUACCAAGGCGGUGACGGGUAGCCGGCCUGAGAGGGUGGACGGCCACACUGGGACUGAGACACGGCCCAGACUCCUGCGGGAGGCAGCAGUGGGGAAUAUUGCACAAUGGGCGCAAGCCUGAUGCAGCGACGCCGCGUGAGGGAUGGAGGCCUUCGGGUUGUGAACCUCUUUCGCCAGUGAAGCAGGCCUGCUCCUGUGUGGGUGGGUUGACGGUAGCUGGAUAAGAAGCGCCGGCUAACUACGUG
rnacentral:rRNA from 1 species